GAUGAACGCUAGCGGCAGGCCUAAUACAUGCAAGCUGAACGGCAAGUUGAAUAGCAAUAUUUGACCUAGAGUAGCGUAAGGGUGCGUAACACGUAUGCAAUCUGCCCCGCAACAGGGAGGAUAGCUUGAUGAAAGUUGAGAUAAGACUCCAUAAGAUCACAGGAGGGCAUCUGAUAGUGAUUAAACUACGAAGGGGUUGCGGAUGAGCAUGCGCAUGAUUAGUUAGUUGGCGGGUAACGCCCACAAGACAAUGAUCAUUAGGGGAACUGGAGAGGUUCGGUCCCCCACACUGGCACUGAGAUACGGGCCAG
rnacentral:rRNA from 1 species